GAGUUUGAUUAUGGCUCAGGACGAACGCUGGCGGCAUGCCUAAUACAUGCAAGUCGAGCGGACCUACUUUGAAAGCUUGCUUUCAAAGUAGGUUAGCGGCGGACGGGUGAGUAACACGUAGGCAACCUGCCCUUCAGACUGGGAUAACUACCGGAAACGGUAGCUAAUACCGGAUAAUCCUUUUCUCCACAUGGAGGAAAGCUAAAAGACGGAGCAAUCUGUCACUGAGGGAUGGGCCUGCGGCGCAUUAGCUAGUUGGUGGGGUAACGGCUCACCAAGGCGACGAUGCGUAGCCGACCUGAGAGGGUGAACGGCCACACUGGGACUGAGACACGGCCCAGACUCCUACGGGAGGCAGCAGUAGGGAAUCUUCCGCAAUGGGCGAAAGCCUGACGGAGCAAUGCCGCGUGAGUGAUGAAGGUUUUCGGAUCGUAAAGCUCUGUUGCCAGGGAAGAACGUCCGGUAGAGUAACUGCUAUCGGAGUGACGGUACCCGAGAAGAAAGCCCCGNCUAACUACGUGCCAGCAGCCGCGGUAAUACGUAGGGGGCAAGCGUUGUCCGGAAUUAUUGGGCGUAAAGCGCGCGCAGGCGGCUAUUUAAGUCUGGUGUUUAAACCUUGGGCUCAACCUGA
rnacentral:rRNA from 1 species